UACGUAGGGUGCAAGCGUUAAUCGGAAUUACUGGGCGUAAAGCGUGCGCAGGCGGUGAUGUAAGACCGAUGUGAAAUCCCCGGCUUAACCUGGGAACUGCAUUUGUGACUGCAUCGCUGGAGUGCGGCAGAGGGGGGAUGGAAUUCCGCGUGUAGCAGUGAAAUGCGUAGAUAUGCGGAGGAGCACCGAUGGCGAAGGCAAUCCCCUGGCCUGC
rnacentral:rRNA from 1 species